GAUGAAGAACGUAGCGAAAUGCGAUAAGUAAUGUGAAUUGCAGAAUUCAGUGAAUCAUCGAAUCUUUGAACGCACAUUGCGCCCGCCAGUAUUCUGGCGGGCAUGCCUGUCUGAGCGUCAUUUCAACCCUCAUGCCCCUAGGGCGUGGUGUUGGGGAUCGGCCAAAGCCCGCGAGGGACGGCCGGCCCCUAAAUCUAGUGGCGGACCCGUCGUGGCCUCCUCUGCGAAGUAGUGAUAUUCCGCAUCGGAGAGCGACGAGCCCCUGCCGUUAAACCCCCAACUUUCCAAGGUGGACCUCAGAUCAGGUAGGAAUACCCGCUGAACUUAAGCAUAUCAAUAAGCGGAGGA
rnacentral:misc_RNA from 1 species